GGAGCACAAACGGACCUGAAAGGGAGAAGAGGGCGGGUCUCAGGCGGACCGUGUAGGGUGAAGGCCUGGUGAAACAAAAGCGGACCUGGAAGGAAGACGUCAGGGUGGAUGCGGACCUGAAAGGGUGAUGGUUGAGCGGACCGGAACUCAAUCUCUCCUCAUGAGAUUGGCCUGCCAUCCGAGGAACCAGUCUGAUGAUAUUUUUGCUGCAUUUCCUCUAUAGCUAUCAAUGCUUUCUUUGGGUAAGGUGACUGGAAUUGUCCACAGGUAUGGUUUCAGCAAGGCUCUACAAUUGUGGGUAAUACAGUUGGGUGCAAACUGUGACGGUUAAGGACAACAAGGCUGCAGAAAAAUCAAGUAAGAAGAAAUACGGAAGUCUUCUGUCAUUGCUAUGUUGGCGCCGGAAGCGUGGCAACAUUUGCGGGCUGCCUGCAGAACACUACGCGGAAAGAUGUAUUUCACUGUGUGUUUCGAUGUACAUGUGACUAAUAGAGGUAUCUUAUCUUAUCUUACAAUGGCAGGGUUUCUGGAGGUUAUGCCUUCACACUCUUGGACAUAAAGAAAUUUUUAAUCUAAGAUUACUCUUUACUAUCACAUUAAACAAGUGAAAUCUUGCAUAUUCUUGGUAUUAUUAAAGAAAUUACAACUUUAUUACAAAAUAGGAAUGAUCUUGUUUUCUUUACAAGGUUGUGCAGAAAUUUCCUGAGUAUCUGCUGUAGCUACCUGUCUCGCACAUUGCCCAAGUAAGCCUUAAUGACAGUUUUCCUUCUCAUCUUUCCAGUCUGUUACUCCUUGAUUAAUCCUUCUAUUUUGAUCAGUGUGUUGCAAAGUGCAACAGAUUUCCUUCUGCUCAAGUAGAUUUCUUGUCUGCCUGUACAGUGUACAAGUGGUGUACAAUAAUUGUCACCUGAUAGUCUUCCAACCUUACUGCUCAUACUUCUCUGUUAGAUUGUGCAAGGAUAAUGCUGUGAGCUGGUUUCAUGCUAAUUUCUCAUGUUAAGUUAUAUCCUUGUGCUGCAGAUAUGUUUUUUUUUAAAGUGUUGACCAUCAACAACACCAAACCGAUUAAAUGAUCAUGUAAUACCUUGCUGAUUGUGGAACUCUACUAUGUGCUACGUCAAUAACGUUUACUUACAAAAUGUUAAGAACUACAAUUAAAAGAACCUUCAUUGCUGCUUUGGAAUAUCCCGGAGCUCAGAAAGGUGUAAGAUUACUGAAUGACAUUUAAAAGUGAAAUCCAAGUAAAACAAGUAUUAAAAGAAAAAUCAUUCCA